UCAAAGGGAAAUGCACAUUGCCUGAUCGAGUAGACUUUCGGCAAUCUUUACAUCUCCUUUCUUUUGAAAUCGAUUCGCCUAUAUUGAAUUUUCUGCAGAAUAUUCAGUUGCGUUUGAUGAAAUACCGAUACGUUUUUCAGUUGCUUCCACUUGCUCCACGUCCUGCAUUUUCUAUUAACAGCUAACUUCAGUUUGUCUCUGUUUGAUAUGUCGAUCAGAAAAUAUGUAUCUCCGAAUGGAGACACGAGGGCCUGCAGAUGCUGGUUUACAAAAAAAACUCAAUUUGUUGGAAUAACACAUCGUGUCAGGCAGCGUCUCUGGAGAACAUGGAUAGGUGACGUUUCAAAUCGCCCCCCUUCUUCAAACUGAUGCUGCCUGACCCGCUGGGUUACUGCAGCCCUUUAUGUCUGUAUCUCUAAAUGUUGUGAUGAAAACAUAGUGAUCUAUUAAAGUGAUGAAAAAUGUCUUCACGUGUGAAUUUUCCACCUGGCCAGAUCAGGGCUUUGGGUGUUUUGUAAUGAGGGCACAGGAGCAGAGUGGAUUAAAACAAUAGGCUCAUUCACGUUGACAACGGCUGAAUGGAAUAUUGAAAUGUGUUAUUUGCUUUCUAUAAUUAAUUAGUUAUUUUCUAAUGUUUGCUAUUUGUGUCCUUGUUUAACAGUCGCACAAUUCCGUCGGAAUAGGCUACAUAUUUGGAUAAUGUCGCCAAGAUUAACACAUUUAACUUCCCAUUCAGAUUUUUGAAAACAGAUUUAAACGUGAUAUUUCAUCCACGGGAAUUUUCUUCAGUCACAGAUCAGUCCACCCGCAAGGCUCGGGUCUUGUGUACUGCAAUUCAGAAACAGAUUAUUAAUCUGAAUUUAUCAGAGGUAUAGGGCGGUCACUGUUGGGGCAGAGUACAUCGGAGUCCGGAGAGUAUAAACUCCUUGAGGUGAACAACAGCAUCCAAAGCUGCAGCUUUUGCUGACUGAAGCCGCACACAGAUUCUUGCCGCUGAUAGUGAUCAGUUGCAGGUAUUUUUAUCCACCAUGUCACACUGUGAACUGAGCAUAUUUAUAAAAUGUAGUUAGUAUCCUGUUGGUGGAAAGGUUUUAUUAAUUUUCGCUGAUAUUGACGCUGACAUUUCCACACAGGGUCAAUGAUCUUCAAAUGCGUCACAUUAUAUAUUAACGGAGUUUUCAGUUUGGCACUAUGCGUGUCCGGCUAUUAGUAGCAACACAUUUAUUUCUCGGGGCAUUUGUACAUUCUCCAUUCUGUUUCGGUGGAGAAUCGCAGUUAGAGAGAUGUUGCAAUUUUAUUUAAAUUGCUUUUCACUUGUUCUAUGUUGGUUAAAAGUUCAGUGCAGAUUUCCGUCACAAAUUUCGCCUUGAUAUUUUAUCUCCUACAUAUACCUCGUGUUAAAUACAUAAUGAGGCAGUGAGACGCGCAAACAGAACCUUCGGCGGGGCCGCAGCUUCUGAGGAAAGUAAAACAGUCCACGUUGGGACUGAUGUACAGAACUCACCUCUGUUUUCUCUCUGUUGAGAGUUUCAGAGUUUUACUUCUUUGUUUUGAAGAUUUAUCUCAUUUGAUGCUUUAUAGAUAAAUUCAGGCAUAUAUUCCGCUGUUGUUUCUCCAUUCCCGUCCACCUCAUUAUACAAAUCAGAAAACAAAAGCAGGACAUAUUCAUCCGUGAAUUAUCGGCAGAAAUUGGGCGCUGGCUAAAUCAAACACCAACUUUGCUUCUGAUUUUGUCGUUUAGAUAACAUCACGUCAUUGAAUAUUGUUGGAGCCUGUGUAAUUGACACCACGUUGGCAUCUAAGUAAAUGUGUAGGAAGGAACUGCAGAUUCUGGUUUAAACAAACAACAUGGAAAGACCCCUUGACCACCGAGUCUCAGGCGAGCAGCAAACAUCCAAUUGCAUCAUUAAUCCUGUUUUAUAUUUCCCGUUCUCAUCAAUUCCCCGAAGAUACUGCCACUCAUGCACAUGAGGGAAUAUUUACAGUGGGUAAAUGCACGUUUUUGGAAUGUAGGACAAAAACAGAACGCGCGGGGGAAACCCACACAGGCACUAGGAGAACGUGCAAAAUCCACACUGACAGCACCCGAGGUCGGCAUUGAACUCGGGUCUAUGACGCUGCCUGCAGUGGCUCUACUGGUUGGAAGGAGCACGUUAUCGGUAUCCUCUAUUUAAUUUUACUACCGCUGCUUCCACCCAGUUGUAGCGAUCUCGGUUCAUUCCUUACCACCGGUGCUGUAUAACACGCUAUUACACUUGCAUCUUCCCUGUGACUGUGCGCGUUUGCCCGGGUGCUCGCGUUUCUUCGCGCAUCCCAAUGAUUUGUUGCUACGUAGUUUAAUUACCUACUGUAAAUUAUCUUGAGUAGAAUGGUCAAACGGAUGAAAGAAGGGUUGAUGGGCCCGAAUGAAAGGAAAUAAGGAGAGGGUAAAUUAAAUCAACGAGACUGUUGUACAGUGCUUGGUAUGGAGCCGAUGGGCUGAAUGGUCUCCUUCUUGUCCUUAGAAGUUUAGAAUGGGAACUGUGUUUUAUACAUGAUGUGUAAUGGUACUGCUUCCGUGUGCAUUAAAUACUUGAAUAAUCGUAAUACACGUCUGAGAAAAUAUGAUCCUAAUGAUUCCCAAAUCGUCAGAUACGAUUGUGCUGUUUAUAUUAUUAUUACUUCGUGAGAUAUAACACUAAAUUAAUGAGCCUAUUGUGCAUGCGAUCAAUUGUCCACUGCAUUGUCCACGGGCCGAGUUUGUGCAAUCGGUGAAAGGCAUAGAAUUGAAUAACAUUAUCUAGAUUCACAAAUUGUAACGCGGGUUUGAAACUGUGAACGUAAAUAGACUUUCCCCACUUCUUGAAAAUCGGUUAAAGGAAAAUGGCAACUGGCGAGACAGUAUCUGUUCCUGGAGCCAAGUGGAUAACAGCACUCAGGCGUGGGGAGCAAGUCGUGCCCAGUUAUUGCUGGACAACGCAGGGCACAAACGAACCAACGUGUAACGUUGGAAUAUCAUUCAAGCAUUCUCCACAAGCAAAUCUGAAAAUAAAUAGAGUCAUAGAGUCGUAAAUAUUAGCAUCGCCGCACCUGUAUUAAGAUACUGGAAAGUAGUAUAGAAAUCGGGGGCAGAAUAUCUUCAGUAGUGUGGGAUCAGGUCAUAUGUCCAUCAUGUGGUAGACGCUGUUGAACAAAGAAAAAAUAUCCUGCAAAUGCAUCGGAGGGAAUAUCAUCGUAAAUGUUGUUGGAGGGGAAAUGAAGGAGUGGCUGUCCGCAGACAAUUAAAAUGAUGGAGUUUGGCACACGGGUCAGUUCACUUUGUAUCGCCUGUGGAAAGUAAAAUUGAAAUGAGAAUCUGAACUCGUGACAGUGUGAACCUCACAGACAGGAGCUAUUUCAAGACUGGGUUUUUUUUUUAAACUGUCAUAUGCACCGAAAACUGAAAAAAAAUGAAAACUAUUUUUUAGGGGAAUAAGGAUUGGGUUGAUCACUGUGAAUUGCAUUAUAAAAUUUCCCAUGCGAAAUAUCAGAGUGGCAACACAAUGUAUUUUCAAUCCUACGUAAAAUGUGCCCGAACCUGAUAGUUCACCAGAGGCGAUAGGAGAGUUGUCGUGGCCCGACGGCCCACUUUCCAUGUAUAUUGUUCCCUGUCGUUCUAAAGGGUCACCCUGGUGUAGGAAGGAUGCCAUUAAGAUGGAAAUAAUGCAGUGAAGAUUUACGAGAACGUUUCCAGCACUUAAGGACCCGAGCUGUAGAGAGAGAUUGGGCAAGCUAGGACUUUAUUCCUUGGAGCGCAGGAGACCAAGGGGCGAUGGAGGCGCAUAUAAUCACGAGAGGGAUUAAUAAGGUGAAUGGCACAGAGUAUUUUAAACCAGGAUAGGAGAAAUUAAAAUAACAGAGGCUAAAGGUUUAAGGGAUCACAGUUUAAGGAUAAGGGGGAAAUCUUUUAGGACCGAGGUGAGGAAAACCUUUUUCACACAGAGAGUGGGGAAUCUCUGGAAUUCUCUGCCGCAGAAGGUAGUUGAGGCCAGUUCAUUGGCUAUAUUUAAGGGGGAGUUAGAUGUGGCCCUUGUGGCUAAAGGGAUCAGGGGGUAUGGAGAGAAGGCAGGAACAGGAUACUGAGUUGGAUGAUCAGCCAUGAUCAUAUUGAAUGGCGGUGCAGGCUCGAAGGGCCGAAUGGCCUACACCUGCACCUAUUUUCUAUGUUUCUAUGUUUCUAAGAUGAGACGGGAAAGGAUCCAGAGGGGCGUUUUUUCCAGACACAGGGUGGUGGGUAUAUGGAACAAGCUGCCAGGGGAGGCUGCUGGGGCAGGUAUUUAAGGUAUUUACUGCGUUUAAAAUUCAGUGAUCAGGUACAAGCAUUCGAACGUUUUAGAGAGACAUGGGCCAAACGUGGGCAAAUGGAACUUGCUUAGAUGGGAUAAUCUGGCCGUCAUGGACCAAAUUUACCACAUCGGUAAAUUGUAUCCAGAUCUCUGUAGAUCUAACAAUACAUGUCAUUACAAAAGAGACAGGAUACGAUUUUUUUGACUGCUGAUACUCAUUUACAGUAACUUUUAGAUGUUACUUUUUUAAAGAUGCUUUAUUAAAGCAGGUGGGAAGGUGAAACAAUUCUCUGUAGCGGUUCGGAACGCUGCCUCUCAGGUUACUAUCGGGACUUUUUCCGGUGAUGGUUUCAUUAAUGAGAUGCCCACAUCCCCAUGGACCCAUUCGCUCCAACAUCCCAACCCCAUCACUCCACCCGUCACACAGUCAAAUCUCAUUCUUUAUUUCUCAUUUCAGGCCGCCCCGGGGAUUGUCAGGCGGACCCUUCAGGUAACCUCGCUUAACUUUCACUGCGUUAAGAGUGCGGCUACUGAGACUGAUUGUUACUGAAGACCUUUAAUGCUACUUGCGAGGUGACUGCCGUCUACAGACGGAGAGAUGAUCAGUAAUGUCCCUGAAGCGCGCAGUGUGGGGAGUCGACUCUGCUGACAUGGUUCCCGGUCCCAAGCGUGUUCCCACUGCUCAUCCCACUGUGGAGUCCCAGUCCGGAUCUUUCACCUUUGGCGUCCAAUUCCAGGAAUGCCUUCACACCUCUAACACGUUUGGGUUCCAUUGCCUGUCACAUGAGCUUUGAGUACAGCGGGGCACUGACCCGCGCAGCUCAUCAGCCGCUCUCCCGAGAAUGAAAACGAACCUGCAGUUGAACUUGGAGACACAAGGAACUGUAGAUGCUGGUUUAUAAUAAAAAAUCACAGUGCUGGUGUAACUGGGUUGGACAGGCAGCAUCUCAGGAGAACAUGGGUGGGUGUCCGCUGAGUUACUCCAGCACUCUGUGUCCGCAGCUCACCCUGCCUGCUCGGGCGCCGCUUUCAUCCCAAGAAUGACCGGGUGAUCCCGGUUCUCCGGACGGUUACCAGCUUACUGCAUAUUGUUGACACUGUUAACAGUUCAUUCGGGGUCUGCCGCUCCCGUUGAUCAUUCCGUGAAAGCGUGAAGUUGAGGCUGGUGAACGGGGGCAGUCCAUGCGCCGGGAGAGUGGAGGUUCACUACAAGGGGAACUGGGGGACUGUGUAUGAUGGCGGCUGGGACCUGCAGGACGCGGCGGUGGUGUGUCGGGAGCUGCGCUGCGGCGCCGCGGUGAAAGCCCCGCGCGGAUCUCACUUUGGACCGGGGUCCGGACCCGUUGUGACGUUGUAUGUUGACUGCAGCGGGAACGAGGCCGCUCUACGGGAGUGUGGAUCAGGGCCAUGGGGGGACUAUGGCUUUCCACACUCCAACGAUGCCGGCGUUAUCUGCGAAGGUAAACAUCAGUUUUUUCUCUCUUUGAUCCACAGUUUGGUGAUUUCCGGGAUGCCCUGGAUGUAAAUGACUCGGACUGACCGCCCGCGGCGAGUGGUGUGAAAUUAAAUCCAGUGUCUGUCCGUUUUAUUCCUGUCCAAUUGGAAUCAAAUUUCGCUUCUGGAUCUCACAUUCUGGUUUGAAUGAAACAAACACAACCGGGAGCAUUAAAUACUCUCACCCGGUACAAUGACGGGGACAAGAAACAAGCGGCUGGAGGAACUGAGCUGGUGAGAGAGGAAUAGGGGGGUUGCACGUCGGGUCAUCGGGUCAAAGGGCGUGACACAUGGAGCAGCUCCACUGUUAACACACGAUACGCGCACUUUCUUACCUGUUAAAAACCGCCGAAAUUGUCCAUUUUUGGGCUGUAAAUAAUUGUGGAAAUCGGGGUAACCGUGAGAGACAUUUAUCCUACUUCAGAAUUCCAAAAGUGAAGAGAAAUGAUGGUAGAGAGAAGCGAGAGCUGAAGGGACAACAACAGAUAAAGUGGUUGGCGAACAUUGGCCGUGUAGAUAUCAAGAUUGAAAAUAUUGGGAAUUAUCGUGUUUGCUCACUGCAUUUCAUCAACAGUGAGGCAUUAUUUGUGUUUUUUCUUGAUUCCUUUGGUAUGUAAAAAGUUUCAGAAGUGAAAAAUCUGGCUGUAAAUUUUUUAAAUCACCAAUGGUUCUCAAGUAGGUUUUUACAUGCAAAAAUAAAACGCUUCUGAAGCUAAAUUCAUAAUUAAAAUAAUCGCAAACCAUACGUAGGUAUUGAAUUACAUUUUACUCAGAUGCAAGCCAAGGAAUGGCAUAAUUGUCAGCUGUUAAUUGGACAUAAUCAACAUCAGCAAAUUGACAAUAUCUUUGAAAGGGAGUGGGUGUUGAAGCUGUCAGGACAUUUUAUUAUUUGCCAAAAUAUACAUCUCAAUAGCAUAAUGAUAGAAAACUUACUUUUCCACACACCAGUCUGGAGAUUUUUUAAUGAUAAAUCUGCAGAAUUCAUUGCCACAGACGGCUGUGGAGGCCAAGUCAAUGGAUAAAUGUAAUUGUAAUUG